UUGAACCUAUAAAAUAAAAAAUCCUGAUUGUUCUGAAACACCACAAAAAUACAAGGAAACGAAAAGUACCUUUUAGAAAGCUGAUGCCAAAAUUAGUGACUUUACUGCAAGAAAUCUCAAGACUCUCCAAACAUGCCAACUCUGGAAGCAAAUUGAAUAAAAUACAUUGUUCUGUUAAUUAUUGAAUCAUGUGUUGACUAAGACAACAAUGACUAUACUUUCAUAUGUACACAUCAC
rnacentral:lncRNA from 1 species